rnacentral:rRNA from 1 species
GGACUGGGGAUGGAACUAGCAUGCGAGUCAUUGUAGUAAUACAAGGCAGACGGCUCAGUAACGCGUAGUCAACCUACCCUAUGGACGGGGAUAACCUCGGGAAACUGAGAAUAAUACCCGAUAGAACAUUAUGCCUGGAAUGGUUUAUGUUUCAAAUAAUUUAUUGCCGUAGGAUGGGACUGCGGCCUAUCAGUUUGUUGGUGAGGUAAUGGCCCACCAAGACUAUUACAGGUACGGGCUCUGAGAGGAGUAGCCCGGAGAUGGGUACUGAGACACGGACCCAGGCCCUAUGGGGCGCAGCAGGCGAGAAAACUUUGCAAUGUGCGAAAGCACGACAAGGUUAAUCCGAGUGGUUUCUGCUAAAGGAACCUUUUGUCAGUCCUAGAAACACUGGUGAAUAAGGGGUGGGCAAGUUCUGGUGUCAGCCGCCGCGGUAAAACCAGCACCUCAAGUGGUCAGGAUGAUUAUUGGGCCUAAAGCAUCCGUAGCCUGCUUUGUAAGUUUUCGGUUAAAUCCAUACGCUCAACGUAUGGGCUGCCGGGAAUACUGCAAAGCUAGGGAGUGGGAGAGGUAGACGGUACUCGGUAGGAAGGGGUAAAAUCCUUUGAUCUAUUGAUGACCACCUGUGGCGAAGGCGGUCUACCAGAACACGUCCGACGGUGAGGGAUGAAAGCUGGGGGAGCAAACCGGAUUAGAUACCCGGGUAGUCCCAGCUGUAAACUAUGCAAACUCAGUGAUGCAUUGGCUUGUGGCCAAUGCAGUGCUGCAGGGAAGCCGUUAAGUUUGCCGCCUGGGAAGUACGUACGCAAGUAUGAAACUUAAAGGAAUUGGCGGGGGAGCACCACAAAGGGGUGAAGCCUGCGGUUCAAUUGGAGUCAACGCCGGGAAUC